UACGUAGGGGGCGAGCGUUGUCCGGAUUUAUUGGGCGUAAAGAGCUCGUAGGCGGUUGGGUAAGUCGGGUGUGAAAACUCAGGGCUCAACUCUGAGACGCCACUCGAUACUGCCCUGACUCGAGUCCGGUAGGGGAGCGUGGAAUUCCCGGUGUAGCGGUGAAAUGCGCAGAUAUCGGGAGGAACACCAGUGGCGAAGGCGGCGCUCUGGGCCGGUAUUGACGCUGAGGUGCGAAAGCGUGGGGAGCAAACAGG
rnacentral:rRNA from 1 species